rnacentral:rRNA from 1 species
UACGAGGGGGGCAAGCGUUGUUCGGAAUUAUUGGGCGUAAAGGGUGCGUAGGCGGUUUGGUAAGUCUUAUGUGAAAUCUACAGGCUCAACUUGUAGUCUGCAUGAGAAACUGCCGGGCUUGAGUAUGGGAGAGGUGAGUGGAAUUCCUGGUGUAGCUGUGAAAUGCGUAGAUAUCAGGAGGAACACCUGUGGCGAAAGCGGCUCACUGGACCAUAACUGACGCUGAUGCACGAAAGCUAGGGGAGCAAACAGG